AGCGCAAGGAGGUAAAUGAAGAGCGUCUCCUUCACACGGGAGAGGUCAUAGGUUCAAUCCCUAUAGCGCCCACCA
rnacentral:tRNA from 1 species